GGCUCGAUCUUCUUUGAUGUGGUAACAAAAAUUUCUGUAGCUGCCAAAAAUGGGCGGCGGCGGAUCAAGAGAGUCGCUCGGGUGUCGGCGAUGGCCGAUCCCAUCUCGUACAAGAUGAACCUCAACGAGUACAUGGUGACAUUGGAGAAGCCGCUGGGCAUCCGGUUCGCGCUGUCGGUCGACGGCAAGAUCUUUGUCCAUUCCCUCAAAAAAGGAGGGAAUGCGGAGAGAUCGAGGAUAAUUAUGGUGGGGGAUGCUGUGAAGAAGGCGAGCAAGGCUUCCGGUGGGUUCAUGCAAAUUGAGGACUUCAAUGAUACACGGGAAAUGCUUAAGGAUACUUCUGGAUCAAUUAGCCUUGUACUUGAAAGACCUGUCUCUCCCUAUCCGAUUCAGGAGCUAUAUGUAAACGGAGAUUCUCAUUAUUUGUUCAAUAGAGGCCGCACUCCUUUUACUAC
rnacentral:misc_RNA from 1 species